rnacentral:RNase_P_RNA from 2 species
CUGGUGAUCGAGAUGAUCGCUGCGCGCUUUAAUCAAGCGCGGAGAGGAAAGUCCGAACACCAAAAACGGGUAGUGGGUAACGCCCACCGCGCAGCCGGCAACGGCUGUGUAGGACCAGUGCCACAGAGACUAUACUAGCUGGUGCCCCGCAGUAGAAACCCUAAUUGUUGAAUUGUUAAGUUUCUAGCAAAAGAUCGUACAGUAAUACAGGAAAUGGUUUUUGCGAAACGGACGAAAGAGAUGUUAGGAUUUCUAAUGCGAGGUAUCAGUGAAAGGUGAAAAGUGUUGACAACGUUUUGAGCUGGAUACGGGAUAUCCCUUCAGCACAAGGCGAUGCAACUCGGCGUCUGGCAACAGACGAUCGUGGUAAACUUCUACCUGGUGCAAUGCCAAAAUUGGUAGGCAGCUUGAUCCCGCUGGUAACAUCGGGACUAGAUAGAUGAUCAUCGCUUCGCCGCAAGGCGAAUGUACAGAAUUCGGCUUAUCAGAUCGCCAGAACA